rnacentral:rRNA from 1 species
ACACGACCCCAGGUCAGGCGGGGACACCCGCUGAGUUUAAGCAUAUCAAUAAGCGGAGGAGAAGAAACUUACCAGGAUUCCCCUAGUAACGGCGAGCGAACCGGGAAGAGCCCAGCUUGGGAAUCGGGCGGCCGCGCCGCUCGAAUUGUAGUCUGGAGAAGCGUCCUCAGCGACGGACCGGGCCCAAGUCCCCUGGAAAGGGGCGCCAGGGAGGGUGAGAGCCCCGUCCGGCCCGGACCCUGCCGCACCACGAGGCGCUGUCGGCGAGUCGGGUUGUUUGGGAAUGCAGCCCCAAUUGGGCGGUAAAUUCCGUCCAAGGCUAAAUAGCGGCGAGAGACCGAUAGCGAACAAGUACCGCGAGGGAAAGAUGAAAAGGACUUUGAAAAGAGAGUCAAAGAGUGCUUGAAAUUGUCGGGAGGGAAGCGGAUGGGGGCCGGCGAUGCGCGCCGGCCGGAUGCGGAACGG